AAGUAAAAGUCGUAAACAAGGUUUCCGUAGGUGAACCUGCGGAAGGAUCAUUACAGAGAACUUGCCCUUCGGGGUAGAUCUCCCACCCUGUGUUUAUGUUACCUUUGUUGCUUUGACGGGCCCGUCCCUCGGGACCGCCGGCUCCGGCUGGCCCGUGCCCGUCAGAGGACCCCAAACUCUUGUUUAAACGUCGUCUGAGUACUAUAUAAUAGUUAAAACUUUCAACAACGGAUCUCUUGGUUCUGGCAUCGAUGAAGAACGCAGCGAAAUGCGAUAAGUAAUGUGAAUUGCAGAAUUCAGUGAAUCAUCGAAUCUUUGAACGCACAUUGCGCCCCCUGGUAUUCCGGGGGGCAUGCCUGUUCGAGCGUCAUUACAACCCUCAAGCUCUGCUUGGUAUUGGGUGCCGUCCCCCGGGGCGCACCUUAAAGACAGUGGCGGUGCCGUCCGGCUCCAAGCGUAGUAAUUCUUCUCGCUCGGGAACCCGGUCGUGUGCUUGCCAGCAACCCCCAAUUUUUUCAGGUUGACCUCGGAUCAGGUAGGGAUACCCGCUGAACUUAAGCAUAUCAAUAAGCGGGAGGAAAAGAAACCAACC
rnacentral:rRNA from 1 species